rnacentral:rRNA from 1 species
AGUGAACGCUGACGGUAGGCCUAACACAUGCAAGUCGAACGGCAGCACAGUAAGAGCUUGCUCUUACGGGUGGCGAGUGGCGGACGGGUGAGGAAUACAUCGGAAUCUACUUUUUCGUGGGGGAUAACGUAGGGAAACUUACGCUAAUACCGCAUACGACCUACGGGUGAAAGCAGGGGAUCUUCGGACCUCGCGCGAUUGAAUGAGCCGAUGUCGGAUUAGCUAGUUGGCGGGGUAAAGGCCCACCAAGGCGACGAUCCGUAGCUGGUCUGAGAGGAUGAUCAGCCACACUGGAACUGAGACACGGUCCAGACUCCUACGGGAGGCAGCAGUGGGGAAUAUUGGACAAUGGGCGCAAGCCUGAUCCAGCCAUACCGCGUGGGUGAAGAAGGCCUUCGGGUUGUAAAGCCCUUUUGUUGGGAAAGAAAAGCAGCAGGUUAAUACCCCGCUGUUCUGACGGUACCCAAAGAAUAAGCACCGGCUAACUUCGUG